rnacentral:rRNA from 1 species
UCGGGAAUCUUGGACAAUGGGCGCAAGCCUGAUCCAGCCAUGCCGCGUGGAUGAUGAAGGCCUUAGGGUUGUAAAAUCCUUUCGUUGGGGACGAUAAUGACGGUACCCAAAGAAGAAGCUCCGGCUAACUUCGUGCCAGCAGCCGCGGUAAUACGAAGGGGGCUAGCGUUGUUCGGAUUUACUGGGCGUAAAGCGCGUGUAGGCGGACUUGUAAGUUGGGGGUGAAAUCCCGAGGCUCAACCUCGGAACUGCCUCCAAAACUACAAAUCUGGACCUAAGUAGAGGCAAGUGGAAUUGCGAGUGUAGAGGUGAAAUUCGUAGAUAUUCGCAGGAACACCAGCGGCGAAGGCGACUUGCUGGACUUAUGGUGACGCUGAGACGCGAAAGCGUGGGGAGCAAACAGGAUUAGAUACCCACGUAGUCCCUGAGCGGGCUGGCAAGGCGCAU